GCUGGCCAGCGGGCGGGCGCGGGCGGAGCCUGCCCCUUCCCCGGAGCGCCAUGGAGCAGGGGCCCACGCGGGACGGCGAAAGGGAGCUGCGGCCUGCGGUGCCCGGGCUGGGCAGGGAACCGGGCCCGGCCUCCAGCCCCACGGCCAUGGCCGUUGCCGUGGCAGCUGUGCUGCCAGCGGGUGGAUGCGGGGAGCGGAUGGGCGGGCCCACGCCCAAACAGUUCUGCCCGGCGCUCGGGAGGCCACUCAUCAGCUACACCGUGCAGGCUCUGCAGAGGGUGAGCUGGAUAAAGGACAUUGUUGUGGCUGUGACCAAGGAGAACAUGGACACCAUGAAGUCCAUCGUCCGGCGGUACCAGCAUCAGAGGGUCACCCUGGUGGAAGCUGGGGCCACGCGCCAUCAGUCCAUUUUCAGUGGGCUCAAGGCCUUGGCGGGAGACCAGCCGCAUUCCCAGCUGCCCACGCCCAAGGUGGUGAUCAUCCAUGAUGCCGUGAGACCCUUCGUUGAAGAAGACGUCCUCGCGAGGGUGGUCAGUGCCGCCAACGAUCAUGGGGCAGCGGGAGCUAUCCGACCUCUCGUAUCCACAGUCAUUGCUCCUUCUGCCGAUGGUUAUUUAGACCAGUCACUGGACCGCGCCAAGCACCGAGCGAGUGAGAUGCCACAGGCUUUCCUGUUUGACGUAAUCUACCGGGCGUAUUGUCAGUGCAGUGACUACGACAUGGAGUUCGGGACAGAAUGCUUGCACUUGGCACUCAAAUACUGCCACACCAAGGCUAAACUGGUGGAAGGCUCCCCUGAUCUUUGGAAGGUGACCUACAGACGAGAUCUGUAUGCUGCGGAAUCCAUAAUUAAGGACAGGAUUUCUCAACAGAUUUGCAUCAUCAUGGACACAAAAGAAGAUGCUGGAUGCAUAGGUUUUCUUCAACUGCUGAAAAAAGAAAUAGAAGUUAAAGGCACAUCUGUAACUCUCUGUCCAAAUGGCCAAGAUCUUCAGAAAAUCUGCCAGGGAGAUUGCUAUAAUUUUAUUUGCAUAAAUAUGAUGAGCUCUGAUUUUCAAGAAACCACGAAGCUGCUGAAUGAGCUGGAAAACAUGGCCCCUUCCUCAUUAUAUCCUGUUGCUGUUGUUUCGGUGCAUUUCCUUGAUUUCCAAACUGUAUCGUUUAGUGGAAGAAUGAAAGAACUGAGGGAAAUGAAGGAUUUGGCAAAGGAAGUAAAGAAGCAAAAUGUUUUCUUAUAUGGCCUUCUCAUCUCUUUCACUCAGAGUCAUUGCUGAGAAAAGAGCCUCAGUCCUUCAGGCUGUUGUGCUGAAAAUGAAAACAACCUGGGGCUCUGUAACAUUCGGGUUCUUGGACUUUUCUUAAAACGGAUGUUGUUCUAAUACUGGGAAGUCAGUCUUCUGUGACUCACUGCACUUCCAUUCACAUCAUGGGACAUGGCUAGUAUCCGCCAUCCCCAUUCCCCACAAAGUAAGGAAUUCUGUCAUGCGUGGUAUGUACUUUUUUUAUCUGUGCUUCUGUCCAUGUGUAUUAGCUCAUGCCCUCUGGUAGGAUAUAAGCUCCCAGAAGGCAGGGCCCAUUUUACUUACGCCUUCAUAUUCCUGGCACACAGGAACCCUUGUAGAUUGGUGGAUUGACUUGAAGGGUUGGGUGUAUUAACCACUAAGGUCCCUUCUAACACAUAUCAAUCCAUCAGGAAACAUUUAUUGAGCACCUACGAUGUGCCAGACUAUGACUCUGUGAUCUUGGGAUUCUCAGACAGCCAAUAGAAGACCCACAUUUCUUUAUGAUGCCUCAGUUUCUCACUCAUGAGGACAAACCAUUCCUUUCCACCUGGAGCUUCUCCAGUAGAGGUCAAGGAGCUCUCUUGGAAAGGCUUGGAAGGAUGGCUGACAAACCAAAGAGAUUUGGUGAUUUGGUUUCUCAUAAAGGUAAGGGUUGGGUUGGGUCAUGUCUGACCUCUGCAAUCACUCCAUGCCUUUUCUGUUCUGAUGGGUCCAUGUUGUCCUCUCUAGAAGAAAACAUGGAGGAAAAAGGAUCUCUGGGGAGAUCAGUCCAGGGACCCUGCUAAGGACCAGGGUAUUGGGGGAGAUGGGGCUGUUGUCCUACAGUCACACAGGAAGGCAAGGGAGAU